AAAUUAGUUUGACUGGGUUGUUGGCCUA
rnacentral:piRNA from 1 species